GAUGAACGCUGACAGAAUGCUUAACACAUGCAAGUCGAUGGGGAAGUGGUGCUUGCACCAUGGUAACCAUGGCGGACGGGUGAGUAACGCGUAAGGAACUUACCUGCGGGACCGGGAUAACAGCAGGAAACUGCUGACAAGACCGGAUAAGGUCAUUAAGCUGCAUAGCUUAGUGAUGAAAGGAGACGCCUGCGGAGAGCCUUGCGUCCUAUUAGCUAGUUGGAGGGGUAACGGCCCACCAAGGCGAAGAUAGGUAGCCGGCCUGAGAGGGUGGACGGCCACAAGGGGACUGAGAUACGGCCCUUACUCCUACGGGAGGCGGCAGUGGGGAAUAUUGGACAAUGGGGGCAACCCUGAUCCAGCAAUUCUGUGUGCACGAAGACGGUUUUCGGAUUGUAAAGUGCUUUCAGCAGGGAAGAAGGAAGUGACGGUACCUGCAGAAGAAGCGACGGCUAAAUACGUG
rnacentral:rRNA from 1 species